AACGGCCAUACCGUGCUGAAUAUACCGGUUCUCGUUAGAUCACCGAAGUCAAGCAUCAUUGGGCGCUGGCAGUACUUGGGUGGGUGACCACCUGGGAACAUCGCGUGCCGUU
rnacentral:rRNA from 1 species